GUAUACAUCCAUACCACCCUGAAUGCACUGGAUCUUGUCUGAUCUCGGAAGCUAAGCAGGGUUAGGCCUAGUUAGUACAUGUACGGGAGAAAACAAAUAUCAAAAUCUUGACUUAACU
rfam:Chlorocebus sabaeus isolate 1994-021 chromosome 20, whole genome shotgun sequence.